AUUGCUCGAAAGUUUUAGGCCGCAGAGUAAAUACAUGCUAUGCGACUCGAUGCAGUGUACACUAAUGACGAAUAAGAGCAAAGUUUCACUGUGGCUUCGUGGGAGUGGUAAUGGUGGCCUUCCUCUUCCCACCAUCCACCCACCUACCACCUUCCAACCCGUGUGGAAUUCCAUAGCUAAUCUUAAGCAGAAUUAGCUUUCCAGUACUCGAUUGGAAACCACUGUAAUCACGUUUGCAUCACUGCAUUUAAUUCCGUAAACGAGAUUUUACCCGUUAUCCAUGAUCAUGAGAUGUAUGAGGUCAGACAGAGAUAUCAAUGAAUUAUUAUUCUUGUGGUCAACAUUGGCAUUCUGGCAUCAUCCUAAUCCUGCUACAUGAUGGAUUUAAAUCCAAGCAUAUUUCGUGACCAUCCCAGUGGUUGACCUAUCCAAUAGAAAAUGGUUUUGGUCGAUAGCGAGAAGGUACAAACAACGUUCAAGGUACCAAGCGUCGCUUGGGGUUGCGCUUGGUUGGCGAUGCGCCACGCAUCAUUUGCCUCGAGAGUUAAUGCGAUAGCCAGACUCGCCGCUAGCCUAUGAGAUUAGAAAGUAUAAUGCUUAUGUUUUAUAGAUUCGUGAAGCCAGCGUGUAGGAUGAUGCUUUUUACAAGCCAAAAGGACAAACUAGAUUUUUCAAAUAAUAAGUAUAAAAGUAUAAAUAUAAGUAUAAAGGAAUAAGUAUAAAAUAUAGAGUAAAAACAUGUGUUCAUCUUCUCAUUGAAAUAGUUCACUCUGUAUACUCUAACAAAUUUCUAUUUUCUCAUUCAGUGAAUGAAAACCCAAAGUUUAUCACCAUAUGGUACUAUCUGUAUUUUUAUUUCAUCUCUAAGUUCCAAACAAAGAAAUUUACAUAGCUACCUACGACAGAUGCGAAAGUGGACACAUGUGCAUAACAGUGCGCUUUGAGCGAUCCUGAGAAUCCCAGAGGAUCCAGUGGUGGUUUUGAAGCUUCCCUUACUUACUAUCGAGAAUGCACUUUUCUUGUUUCGCACUUAAGACGAGCUUCCGGAUGCGAGAGCUACCAUUACUUUCAAUAUGAACGCAUAUCGCCAUGAUAAAUUCUGCAGAACAAGUUGAAUGGGAGUCAACCGAUUCGAUUUGAAUCGAAUGUAAACGUAGAAACGAUCAGCUUAUAUGAAUUUUGAACGUAUUGGUCCAGCUCGAGGAGUUUUACAUUUAGAGAGAGAGAGAGAGAGAGAGAGAGAGAGAAACGAGCGAUUUCAAACUACCUAGGAACUGUAAUUUUACAAAGUGACGUACCAACACUCGACGAUGUACGCCAGUGGAUGAAGGGAUCGGAGCAAGGGUGCACACUGCACAACCCUCAUCAGCAACGGUAUUGCCGCGAUAGCGGAGCUACUCGUCAAAUAUUUACUUUAGAGGAUGCUGGUGCCAGGCAACGGGAGUAUCUCAGUUGUCGAGUAGGAGGAAGGAAGAGAAAGAGGACGUUGUUGGAUAGUCCAAUGUGUUAUACAUAGUUUCGUAAAAACGUUUAGUCAUUCGAUAUUUUAGUAUUGACUAUGAUUUUGUUUUUUUUUGUUUUUUUGUUUUUUUUUUUUUUUUCCAAUUUUCACGUCGAUUACUAUCGUAGAUUUCUCUGACUUCGUUUGUUACUAUGAUAAGAAAGCUAUGCAAACACGAAUAAUACUCUAAAUGAUUAGGAAACCUUGAGAACUAGGUGGAUAGUCGAACAUUAAAUAUUCAGCAACUAUUUUGUUCUCUGUAGACACACCAAAGAAGGACUUUGAAAUGUAGAAAGGUUACUUGUCUGCUUUGAGUAAGGAUGUUGAUUGGAAGGAUCAAAGUCUACGUAAGUACAGGGUAUUUAAUUGUUCGACCAUAGAAGCAGGUACUAAUUCAAGUUUGAAGACUUUCUUUUUUAAUUUUUCCUUCUGUUUCUCUUAAUUACUAAUUUCGUGUUACAUCCCGAACGGUGCGUAUAAAUGUUACACAUUUUUUUUUUUUAUAAAUCUUUAAUCAAAUCUAAAGUCUUACUAUAUUUUUAAAUACAAUU